rnacentral:misc_RNA from 1 species
AGGGUCAAACAAAGCACAGCCGAAGGAGAAGAAAUUUCUCUUUCAACAAUCAGCGUUUAGCUACAGCAACGCCCCAAUCCACCAGCACAACCACCGCACACGGUGGCGCGUGAAGCUGCUGCUGGGCAUCUCUCCAUGUGCUGACGGCGGAAUCCGGCCGGAGAGGUGAUGGGUCAGGGCUUGAGCUGCGGCGAACGCCUUGAGAAUGGGCUGUUCCGAGCUGUGCAGAAUGGGGAUUUGGAGCUUGUUGAGACUAUGGUAAAGGCUGAUCCAACUAUCUUGCAACAGACAACUCCUCGUUCGAGGAUGUCUGCUCUGCACAUCGCAGCUGCUUAUGGUCAGAUCGAGAUUCUUUCUCUGCUCUUGGAUCGGUCUAUGAAUCCUGAUGUGUUGAAUCGCAACAAACAGACCCCGUUAAUGCUGGCUACAAUGAAUGGGAAGAUAUCCUGUGUGCAGAGACUUAUUGAAGCAGGAGCAAACGUUUGUGUCCCAAUUUAUUCUGAUGUUUGAUUCUCUAAAUCGGCGAACCUGUCUGCAUUAUGCCGCUUAUUAUGGUCACUCAGAUUGCUUAGAAGCCAUAGUUUCCGCUGCCCAUUCAGCUCCAGUUGCAGCCACUUGGGGAUUUAUCAGAUACGUGAACAUUCGAGAUGGACGAGGUGCCACUCCGUUGCAUAUAGCUGCACGUCGACGGCAGCCACAGUGCAUUCAGAUCCUUUUGGCGAAUGGAGCUCUUGUUUGUGCUUUAACUUGUGCUUAUGGCUAUCCAGGGAGUUCGCCUCUUCAUCUAGCUGCUAGAAGUGGUUCUUUAGAAUGUGUUCGAGAAUUGCUUGCGUGGGGAGCAGAAAGAUUACAAGUGGAUUCAGCAGGGAGAAUACCCUACACGGUUGCAAUGAAACGCAAGAAUCGGGCGUGUGCAGCUUUGCUGAAUCCUUCAGCAGCAGAACCUCUUGUCUGGCCAUCAAAACUGAAAUUCAUCAAUGAGCUAAAUCAAGAGGCAAAAGCUCUGCUAGAGAGGGCCUUGGUGGAAGCAAACAUGGAGAGAGAGAAGGCCAUUUUGAAGGAGAAUUCCUACUCACCUCCAUCUCCUUUACAGUCUGAUGCUGAUUUGGAUGAUGCAGAAUCUGAGGAGUGCGAUCUCGAGUUAUGCUGCAUAUGCUUUGAACAGGCCUGCACUUUAGAGGUCCAUCCUUGUGGUCAUCAAAUGUGUGCCCAUUGCACCCUAGCUUUAUGCUGUUACAAGAAGCCAAAUAGCUCGAGCAAUUGUCCUACUGCCCCGCUGUGCCCUUUUUGUCGGAGCAGCAUUACUCAACUACUCGUGGCAAGGAUGAAGGUGACUGAUAAUGCAGAAUCUGAAAUUAAUUCAUCAAAACUAAGGCGGUCUAGAAAGUCAAAUUUCAGUGAGGGCAGCAGUAGCUUCAAGAGCUUAUCGGCUUUGGGAUCAUUUGGGAAGAUUGGUGGCCAUAGUACAGGAAGAUUUCCAGUUGAAUGUGAUGAGGAGGUUGAUAAGAGUUUCUAAGUAGCAUCUUCUUCGCGGGGUCUUGUUCGAGCAAAGCUGAUUAUCCAGUCAAUGUAAGAGUCUUGGAUAUGGAAAAACACCAAUGGUUAUGUUUUUCACUAUCUUUAAAAAUCUACUUGAAUGCCUAAGAAGCAUGGCUACAAGCGUCGUUGCGAUUUCGAUUGUCUUGAGUAAAUAUAAGGUGGUCGAACCUGUCAUUCCUCGUUUUGUUACUGAAGUUGCAGCAAGUUACUAUUUCUGAGUCAUGAAUGCUUGCUGAUUACUUGUUAUGGUUUUGAGUUCUAAUAAAGCUUCAUAA